AUACUUUUAGUUAAACCACAUUUUUUAAGUUGUCUGUAUUUUUUUUUAUUUUUAAUACUGAACAUAUUUUUAUUUAGCGGUGCAACCACAACCUGAUGCUCAACAACAACCACAUUCUGAACCGCAACAACAACUACAAUCAG